GACGAACGCUGGCGGCGUGCUUAACACAUGCAAGUCGAACGGAAAGGCCCUGCUUUUGUGGGGUGCUCGAGUGGCGAACGGGUGAGUAACACGUGAGUAACCUGCCCUUGACUUUGGGAUAACUUCAGGAAACUGGGGCUAAUACCGGAUAGGAGCUCCUGCUGCAUGGUGGGGGUUGGAAAGUUUCGGCGGGUGGGGAUGGACUCGCGGCUUAUCAGCUUGUUGGUGGGGUAGUGGCUUACCAAGGCUUUGACGGGUAGCCGGCCUGAGAGGGUGACCGGCCACAUUGGGACUGAGGUACGGCCCAGACUCCUACGGGAGGCAGCGGUGGGGAGUAUUGCACAAUGGGCGGAAGCCUGAUGCAGCAACGCCGCGUGCGGGAUGACGGCCUUCGGGUUGUAAACCGCUUUCGCCUGUGACGAAGCGUGAGUGACGGUAAUGGGUAAAGAAGCACCGGCUAACUACGUG
rnacentral:rRNA from 1 species